UGGUGGAGUGAUUUGUCUGGUUAAUUCCGUUAACGAACGAGACCUUAACCUAUUAAAUAGUUAUACGAACCCUGAUCCCUCCCUAGUGGGGGAACUUUUGUUCGUGGACAACUUCUUAGAGGGACUCUUCGCUAAGAGAGCGAUUGGGAAGUUUGAGGCAAAAACA
rnacentral:rRNA from 1 species